rnacentral:sRNA from 1 species
GGCUGGGCCGAAGAAUCUGGAUUAUUUACUUUCCCAGUAGAACAAAACAUUCCAGGUUCAUCCCUUGCCCAGCCCUU